UACAGAGGUCUCAAGCGUUGUUCGGAUUCGUUGGGCGUAAAGGGUGCGUAGGUGGCGCCGUAAGUCGGGUGUGAAAUUUCGGAGCUCAACUCCGAAACUGCAUUCGAUACUGCGGUGCUUGAGGACUGGAGAGGAGACUGGAAUUCAUGGUGUAGCAGUGAAAUGCGUAGAGAUCAUGAGGAAGACCAGUGGCGAAGGCGGGUCUCUGGACAGUUCCUGACACUGAGGCACGAAGGCCAGGGGAGCAAACGGG
rnacentral:rRNA from 1 species